AAAUUCCAAUACGGGGAAAGAACUACCAAGGAUUCCCCUAGUAACUGCGAGUGAAGCGGGAAAAGCUCAAAUUUAAAAUCUGGCGGUCUCUGGCCGUCCGAGUUGUAAUCUAGAGAAGUGCUGCCCGCGCUGGACCGUGUACAAGUCUCCUGGAAUGGAGCGUCAUAGAGGGUGAGAAUCCCGUCUCUGACACGGACUACCAGGGCUUUGUGGUACGCUCUCGAAGAGUCGGGUUGUUUGGGAAUGCAGCUCAAAAUGGGUGGUAAAUUCCAUCUAAAGCUAAAUAUUGGCGAGAGACCGAUAGCGAACAAGUACCGUGAGGGAAAGAUGAAAAGAACUUUGGAAAGAGAGUUAAACAGUACGUGAAAUUGCUGAAAGGGAAACGCUUGAAGUCAGUCGCGUAGGCCGGGGAUCAGCUUCGCUUUUUGCGUGGUGUAUUUUCUGGUCAACGGGUCAGCAUCAAUUUUGGCUGCUGGAAAAAGGCUUGAGGAAUGUGGCAGCUUCGGCUGUGUUAUAGCUUCUUGUCACAUACAGCGGUUGGGAUUGAGGAACUCAGCACGCCGCAAGGCCGGGUUUCGACCACGUUCGUGCUUAGGAUGCUGGCAUAAUGGCUUUAAGCGACCCGUCUUGAAACACGGACCAAGGAGUCUAACAUGCCUGCGAGUGUUUGGGUGGAAAACCCAAGCGCGUAAUGAAAGUGAAAGUUGAGAUCCCUGUCGUGGGGAGCAUCGACGCCCGGACCAGAACUUUUGGGACGGAUCCGCGGUAGAGCAUGUAUGUUGGGACCCGAAAGAUGGUGAACUAUGCCUGAAUAGGGUGAAGCCAGAGGAAACUCUGGUGGAGGCUCGUAGCGAUUCUGACGUGCAAAUCGAUCGUCAAAUUUGGGUAUAGGGGCGAAAGACUAAUCGACCAUU
rnacentral:rRNA from 1 species